rnacentral:rRNA from 1 species
GGGGUGGAGUCUGCGGUUCAAUUGGAUUCAACGCCGGAAAUCUCACCGGGGGCGACAGCAGAGUGAAGGUCAAGCUGAUGACUUUACUAGACUUGCUGAGAGGUGGUGCAUGGCCGUCGUCAGCUCGUGCCCUAAGGCGUUCGGUUAAGUCCGACAACGAGCGAGACCCAUGUUGCCAGUUGCAAUUUUCUCUUCCGAGAGGAAAGCACUCUGGCGAGACCGCUGCUGAUGAAGCAGAGGAAGGAGUGGGCAACGGUAGGUCAGUAUGCCCCGAAUCCCCCGGGCUACACGCGGACUACAAUGCGCGGAACAAUGGGCUGCAACACCGAGAGGUGAAGCCAAUCCUUAAAUCCGCGCUUAAUUCGGAUCGAGCCUUGUAACCCAGGCUCGUGAAGCCGGAAUCCCUAGUAAUCGCGUUUCACUAUGACGCGGUGAAUAUGUCCCUGCUCCUUGUACACACCGCCCGUCAAAUCACCUGAGUCGGGUUUAAGUAAUGCUCUCGUUCUUGCGAGAGUUGAACUCAAGCUCGGCAAGGGGGGUUAAGUCGUAACAAGGUAUCCGUAGGGGAACCUGCGGAUAGAUCACCUCCUAAG